AUGGCACCUUUUAUUUCCAUAUCCACCUUGUGUGCAAUGUCAGUCGGUCUUCUUUAUGGAGAUCGGCCAAACAUCAACCUAAUUUUUUAACUCUUUGUCUGAAAAAUAUUAUGAAUAAAAUAAUUCAAAAUACAACUUUCAACAACGGAUCUCUUGGCUCUCGCAUCGAUGAAGAACGCAGCGAAAUGCGAUACGUAAUGUGAAUUGCAGAAUUCAGUGAAUCAUCGAAUCUUUGAACGCAUAUUGCGCUCUUUGGUAUUCCGAAGAGCAUGCUUGUUUGAGUAUCAGUAAACACCUCAAAACCUUUUUUUAUUUUUAAAAAACAGUUUUGGACUUGAGCAAUCCCAACACCAAUCUUUUUUAGAUCGGUGGCGGGUUGCUUGAAAUGCAGGUGCAGCUGGACAUUCUCCUGAGCUAAAAGCAUAUUUAUUUAGUCCCGUCAAACGGAUUAUUACUUUUGCUGCAGCUAAUAUAAAGGGAGUUUGACCGUUUUGGCUGACUGAUGCAGGAUUUCACAAGGGUCGGCAACGAUUCUUGUAAAACUCGAUCUCAAAUCAAGUAAGACUACCCGCUGAACUUAAGCAUAUC
rnacentral:rRNA from 1 species